GGUGUUUUCCGGACGGGGAUGCUCAAAGUGUCAAGCAGCGUGAAGCAUCAGCCUGCCAUCACAGCCCGACGAUAAGACCCGCAGCUGACAGUCGAUAUCUGUCGCCUGUUUGUUCUGAAGCGGAGCAGCUGAAAUCCAAGAGUGUAAACUCAACAGUUGCCGCCCAAACACACACACACAGAAAGAGAGAGCAGACGAUUGUGUCCCAGCAGCACGCAGUCGCUGAGGAGGCACCGCGGCAGCAGGGUAAGGAAUUGGAUUAUCGUCCUUGGAUCUGUCUUGGGAGGAAAAUCUGAGUAUGUGACGACAUCGUACGAGGGCUGAUGAGGUCUGAUAUAAAAUGUCUAAGAUGAAAAUCACUGAGGGCGGAACUGACCUGGCCAGUCGGGCUAGAGUGCUGACAGCCAGGACCCCAUCGAGGCCAUAGACGACGAGCAAGACACCGCUGAUGAUU